CUAUCUAUCGGGAACGACAUAUUAACUAUCGGGCAUUAAGGAUCAUAUGUUUGUAAAUGGAUCUGUAUUUUGCAGUAUGUUGAACGGGUGUUAUGAAAUGGUGUUUAUCAUGCACUAACUUUAGUCCAUAAUUUAUGAUAAUGCAAAUGAUAGUAACUAUCUUGGGG
rnacentral:sRNA from 1 species